AGAGUUUGAUCCUGGCUCAGGAUGAACGCUGGCGGCGUGCUUAACACAUGCAAGUCGAACGGAAAGGCCAGUGCUUGCACUGGUACUCGAGUGGCGAACGGGUGAGUAACACGUGGGUGAUCUGCCCUGCACUUCGGGAUAAGCCUGGGAAACUGGGUCUAAUACCGGAUAGGACCACAUUUUGGAUGGUGUGGUGGAAAGUUUUUCGGUGUGGGAUGAGCUCGCGGCCUAUCAGCUUGUUGGUGGGGUAAUGGCCUACCAAGGCGUCGACGGGUAGCCGGCCUGAGAGGGUGUACGGCCACAUUGGGACUGAGAUACGGCCCAGACUCCUACGGGAGGCAGCAGUGGGGAAUAUUGCACAAUGGGCGCAAGCCUGAUGCAGCGACGCCGCGUGGGGGAUGACGGCCUUCGGGUUGUAAACUCCUUUCGCUAGGGACGAAGCUUGUUUGUGACGGUACCUGGAGAAGAAGCACCGGCUAACUACGUG
rnacentral:rRNA from 1 species